UAGAGAACCUCGGUUAUGUAAUUAUUACCCCGGUAUGUCUGUUUUUCGAGAAGGCGAUUCCGACGCGAUUCGUUUUACCGAACUGCAAGUCAUUAUUUUUUUUCCCGCAUUCACAAUUGACCAUUAUGACGGAAGCCUGGAGGCUCUUCUAGGUGUGAAGAUAUUUAAUAUGUCUAGGGACAUCCUAAUAUUGGCCUAAUGGCCUUCAGUUCGGAGAAAGUCCAAAUAAUAAUGCAUAUCAAUAAGAACCGCAAAGUGUAACCUACGCAGAUAUUUAAUUAACUGACAUUUGUCAAUGUAUCAAUUCAUUGACACGAUAUCGUCCACCUCAUCUUUUAAAAGAGAAGAAUGGCACUAGGAAGGUUGAUAUAUUACAGAACAGAUCGUUCAUCUAUAGGCUAUGUGCAUAGCACUUUGUUUUAAGCAUCAAUUUGUUCUUAACCAAACUGAGUGCAGCACCUGUUCAACUGUAAUAUCCCUCAACACGGGGAUGACGAUUUGCACGGGAUAAGUAUUAUCAGAGGACCUUGGAGUUUGUCGGGAAAAAAUAGUUUUUUAGGGCUGAGAUAAUAACCUUCCGGCCAAGUAAAAAUUACUGACUUGGCAGAUUCAGACGGUACUAAAAUGACAAAUGCGGUGAUUUAUGCUCGUGCAAAUAAUUAUAUUACCUGAGCUCCCCCAGUAAAACUCUUCCAGUUAACACUAUUAAUGUUUGCCUUUACUGUGGGAAUUGUGGUCGAAUCAAUGCAAAAUUAGCCACUUUCAAUGCAACAUACCUGAAAACAAAACAAGCUAUGCAAGUUAUUUUGUUGUAGGCAGAACGCAUCGGAAUAUGAUUCUAUUGCAUCUAUAUAAAAAAAAAAAGCGGUGUGGCAGAACCAAUCAGAGCUGCAUUAGGCCUAUAUGCAAAUAGACCAUUGCCAUAUAUGGAUCUGUGCCAUUUUCUUUGAACUGGACUGUGUAAACAGCAUGAUAGGUCAUGAGUAAAUGCGCUUGUUUUGAGAUCAAAGCGAGAGCUGCAUAUUUGUUCAUAUCCUUUGCUAGUUAGUGAGUUAUUAGACCAGUUAUAGAUCAUUUGUAGUCAGCAAUGGGCACAACACGUGCAUUUCUAGACAUCUUUGAAAAGGGAGUCAGGUAAAGAGCUUUUUUUUUGUCUUGAAGGGGUGGUGUUGUAUUUUGAGACUGUCUUGAAUAAGCUACAUUUUCACUAUUCAAGUUUGAGCUCAGCAGACUUGAAAUUUCCUCAGUGCCGGGAACACUAAGGGAACGUUGCAUUUAUGCCUAAGGCUGAGACAAUAAGAAGACACAGUGGCAGAAUAAAUUCAACCACACCUUUGUUUCAUUACAAAACUGGAGAGAAACAUCUGUCCGGUGGAGUCCACAAAGCAUAUUGCAUGUAACAAACAGUUACAUGACCUACAUAAUGGUCAAUCAAGUUAAUGUUGCCGACACGUAACACUUUUUUGGUUACUACAUGAUACUAUAUAUGUUAUUUGUAGUUUUGAUGUCUUCACUUCUAUUCUACAAUGUAGAAAAUAGUAUUUUUUUUAAGUAAAAAAAAACCUUGAAUGAGUAGGUGUGUCCAAACGUUUGACUGGUAUUGUAUGUGAUAAGCAAAAUUGACACAGUUACAAUAGACAUCCACCAUAUUGGUGUUACCUGCAUUUUGUUAGCUCACAAUAAACACAACAGUUCAAUGCUGAGUAAAGAAGGUUAGUACUGUACAGGGAUGGUGAAAAGUAUUUAAACCAUCCUGCAGAAGUAAUUAGCAACCAGAAGGGGGCUCUCUUGCGUCACACUAGUGGUUGCCAAACACUUCCAUGCUGUGGUUACGCACCUAAAGCCUUUGAAUAUAUCUUUCUGCGGCUUACUAACUAAACAAAAGCAAUGUUGUUCAGCACAAAUACAACAUUAUCACUCUACUCCACCAACAGGUUAGUGCAGUGUUCCUUCAUCCUGAUCCUGGGGAAUCAAAGGGGGCGGGGAGGAAGAGAGCCAGUGUGAAGCAGCAGAGUCUCAGCAGCAACCUCUUCAUCCUGGAAAGAGCGGACCAAUCAGGACAGCCAUAUUUCAGUCCCGCCCCUCAGGUCCAGGAAGUAUGUCAGGAGGUGGAUGAGUUCAUCUAUGUGGCCAAUGCAGAGACGGGAAGAGGUAACACCAAGACUCCAACACAUUCCUCAUACUUGCUCCUAUUCCUAGGCCCUUGUUGCCAGCCAGAUAAUCUUGUCAAGCUAUCGCAACAUCAGGCUGGUUCCACCAGGCUACCUUCCAGGACCAGAUCCAGGGAAAGAUCAGGCUCGUUCCACCAGGCUACCUUCCAGGACCAAAUCCAGUGAAAGGUGGUGAGGGGGACAGAUCCAGGCAUUGGUGGACCCUGCCUAGUGUUCAUCCUCCAGAACCCUCCUUGUCCUGACUUUUGUGUCCAGAGAGGAACCAGACUCAAUCAGAACCACUAGUCCCAGUACUGCUAGAUUAAAGACCAGGACCCCCAGUGUGGAUAUUGCACAGAGGCUCUGCCUGUGCCUGCUGCCCAACCCCUGGAUUGUCUGUCUGUCUGUGUAGUGUCUGUCUGUCUGUGUAGUGUCUGUCUGUUUAUGUAGUUUAUGUAGUGUCUGUCUGUCUGUUGUCUGUCUGUGUAGUGUCUGUCUGUCUAUGUAGUGUCUGUCUGUCUGUCUAUGUAGUAUCUGUCUGUGUAGUGUCUGUCUGUCCUGUCUGUCUAUGGUCUAUGUAGUCUGUCUGUCUGCUAGGGUGCUCUGGUCUCAGGCUGUAGCUAUCUGUCUAAGGAACUACCUUCAGCACAAAUGCUUCUGAAGGAAUGUUCUACCUCUGAUGUGCCUUGUUUAAAUGAAUCGCAAAAUAAAAAGUCAUUAUUGGGUAAAUAUUAUUUAAUAACCCUGUAGUAAUUUUUUUGUGAAUAAGUAGUGGGUUGUGAAACAAAACAGAAGUGAAGAGAACUACUGUUUAACUGUAGCUACGGUACUUUAGUGAAGAUAAUGAAGGGUUUUGGUUAUCACAUUAUUUUCUUCUACUACUGCGUAGUUUAGAAGCA
ensembl:lncRNA